GGAAUGUUCUUUUUUAUUUUAUUCCUUUCAUCAUCUCAAACAUAACCUCUCAUCCAGGAAUUUUGCCAAGAUUUAAUAAAUCAAUUGUCUUGCUUAACCCUUAUAUAAAAAGCAAAUCUUUUUUAAUUAGACACAAAUAAUAUCGGCACAACAGGUUGCUAUAAAAUUAAUGCAUAAAUUUUAUCCUUGAAAACCAUUGCUAUG
rnacentral:ncRNA from 10 species